CGCGCUGCUCCUCACGUGAAAGUGUUUGUUUCCGUGCAGGGUUUCUCUGAGGUGCUGAUCUGGUGUGUACACAUCAGAAUGAACGCGAGAGCGGUGAUAUUUCAUCUGGCCAUGGGAAUGGGAGAAGUUCAGAACAAACGUGAAGUACAUCACUCAGUUCGGAUCUACAGACGACCUCUUCCUGUCCUGGGAAGAGCAACAGGAAGUGACUGAUGGACUGAACACAGAUCUACACAAAUACUCAGACCGUGCACAUCCUUUCCAGAGCUCACCCACGCAGCUCACAACCAACAGCUAAUUACAAAAACUCACCCUUCAUCCUCUGAGUUUUUUAAAAAUACACUCGUUUUAUUUCUCAAGGGCCAAAUAAAUCAUGUGUCCUACAAGAAACAAUG